rnacentral:rRNA from 1 species
AUAUUUCUAGUAAAAUAGUAAAGAAAUUUGUUAUGAGUAAAGUAUUGUGAGAGAUUUUUGUUAUUAAUUUCGAGAGAAAAUUUAUAGUUUGGUUAAAAAGAAUUUAAUUUUUGUACUUUUUGUAGAAUGGUUUAUAGAGAGAAGUGAAAAAUUUAUGUUCCUGAAAAUUUUAGAGCUAUUAUUUCUUAGUUUUUUGUUGUAAAAAGGAAUUAUAAGGAUAUAAUAGAGGUGACAUGUUUAGCGAAAAAAUUGAUAGCUGGUUUGAAGAGAAACAUAUUGGAGUAUGGGGAAAGUAUAUAUCUAAGUAUAUUAUUAGUUGUUAAGCUUUUACUCAGGCUUUAGGGGUUAAGCUCUAGAAGCAUAAUAAUUAGAAGUGUAAUUAGUGGAGUGAAAUUUAUGGUGUUUAUCUUUUGAAAUUUAUAAUAAAGUAGUUGAAGAAAUUUUUUGUUUGGUAUCUUCACAUUUUAUUCGAAUAAUAUGUUAAAAGAUUAGUAUAAAAUGAGUAAUAUAGUAAUAAGCUAGUAAUAUAAAAAAAAUUUUAUUUUAGUAGUGGUUGUAGAUCAUAUUGAUAGCAGUUAUAAUUGAAGUCAUAGUAAUGUUUAUUUUGUUUUUAGUAACAUAAGUUGCUUAUCUAUUUUUAUUAGGUUUUGAAGUUAUUUCAUUAGACUAAAUAGGAAAGUUAAUAGGAUAAAAAAAUUUACAUUAAAAGAACUCGGCAAAUAGUUUCUGUGCCUGUUUAUCAAAGACAUGGCUUCUUGGAUAUAGAUAUAAGAGGUCGGACUCUGCCCACUGAUUAGGUGAUUUAAAGGCUGCAAAAAUUUGUACAAAGGUAGCGCAAUAAGUAGUCUCUUAAUUGGAGGAUAGUAUGAAUGGUUUGACGUGGAGAUGCUGUUUCUAAUGUAGUUAAAAUGAAAUUUCUUUUUAAGUGAAAAAGCUUAAAUUUUUGUAAAAGAUGAGAAGACCCUAUCGAACUUAAUUAUGGCUAGGCAGUUUAUGCUAAAUAGAUUUUAUUUGGUUAGUUUCCUUAGCUUUAAAUUUUACUGGGGCAGUAGAGGGUUAUAUAAUACCUUUCUUUUAUAUUGAAGAGCCUUUUAGAUGGAAAAGAGCAAAAGUUACCGUAGGGAUAACAGCGUAAUUUGGUUCCCGAAAGAUCUUAUUAAGGGAAGAGUGUGCGACCUCGAUGUUGAAUUAAAGGAGCUUUUUGGUUGAAAGUGCUAAAAGGGCAAAACUGUUCGUUUUUUAAUCCUUUACAUGAUUUGAGUUCAGACCGGCGUGAGCUAGGUCGGUUUCUAUCUUUAUUUAUGUUUUCUUGUAGUACGAAAGGGCCCAAGAGAAAAGUAAUAUUUUUUUAGGCCAAUAAAAUAAGUUUUGGUUAUGCCUCAGUUUGCACCUAUUUACUCUUUACUACUUUGCGUUUACGUGGGGGUAGUGUUUUUAUAUUUUUUUAGUGCUUUAUGAUGAGUUUCUAAGCGGUCUUAUAGUUUGAGUUA